rnacentral:sRNA from 1 species
CUAGGAUUCCCUCAGUAACGGCGAGUGAAGCGGGACUAGCUCAGGAUGUGAAUCUGCGCUGUAUGGCGCCGAAUUGUGGUCUAUAGACUUUGACGUUAUCUGCCGGGCCAAGUUCCUUGGAAAAGGACAGCUGAGAGGGUGAGACUCCCGUCCGCCUGGUAGAGUGAGUCGUUGUCAACGAGUCGAGUUGUUUGGGAUUGCAGCUCUAAUUUGGUGGUAAAUUCCAUCUAAAGCUAAAUAUUGGUGGGAGACCGAUAGCGUACAAGUACCGUGAGGGAAAGAUGCAAAGAACUUUGAAAAGAGAGUUAAAGAGUACCUGAAAUUGCUGAAACGGAAGCGAAGGAAACCAGUGUUUGUUGGUUCAUAUUUCCCUGGCCACUUGUGGUUUGGGCGCUGUGAGCUUGCGUGGGUUUGCUUUGGUUGAUCCCUUUGGAAGAGCGCAGUCAGAGUUGAUGUCUGUUGCUAGCACUGGGUUUGACUAAUGCAGACGAA